rnacentral:rRNA from 1 species
ACGUGCAGUCGAACGGUAACAUUUCUAGCUUGCUAGAAGAUGACGAGUGGCGGACGGGUGAGUAAUGCUUGGGAACUUGCCUUUGCGAGGGGGAUAACAGUUGGAAACGACUGCUAAUACCGCAUAAUGUCUUCGGACCAAACGGGGCUUCGGCUCCGGCGCAAAGAGAGGCCCAAGUGAGAUUAGCUAGUUGGUAAGGUAACGGCUUACCAAGGCGACGAUCUCUAGCUGUUCUGAGAGGAAGAUCAGCCACACUGGGACUGAGACACGGCCCAGACUCCUACGGGAGGCAGCAGUGGGGAAUAUUGCACAAUGGGGGAAACCCUGAUGCAGCCAUGCCGCGUGUGUGAAGAAGGCCUUCGGGUUGUAAAGCACUUUCAGUUGUGAGGAAAAGUUAGUAGUUAAUACCUGCUAGCCGUGACGUUAACAACAGAAGAAGCACCGGCUAACUCCGUGCCAGCAGCCGCGGUAAUACGGAGGGUGCGAGCGUUAAUCGGAAUUACUGGGCGUAAAGCGCACGCAGGCGGUUUGUUAAGCUAGAUGUGAAAGCCCCGGGCUCAACCUGGGAUGGUCAUUUAGAACUGGCAGACUAGAGUCUUGGAGAGGGGAGUGGAAUUCCAGGUGUAGCGGUGAAAUGCGUAGAUAUCUGGGAGGAACAUCAGUGGCGAAAGGCGACUCCCUGGCCAAAGACUGACGCUCAUGUGCGAAAGUGUGGGUAGCGAACAGGAUUAGAUACCCUGGUAGUCCACACCGUAAACGCUGUCUACUAGCUGUGUGUGCCUUUAAGGCGUGCGUAGCGAAGCUAACGCGCUAAGUAGACCGCCUGGGGA